rnacentral:piRNA from 1 species
AGGCAUUUGAGGUGGAACCGGAAGAUUAA